GUCCGGGAGAGGCCGCCUCAGGCGGCGCCGAAGGGGAACGCAAAAACUCUCAGGCAAAAGGAUCGGGCCG
rnacentral:ncRNA from 1 species